AUACGUAGGGGGCGAGCGUUGUCCGGAAUGAUUGGGCGUAAAGGGCGCGUAGGCGGCCCGGUAAGUCUGGAGCGAAAGUCCUGCUUUUAAGGUGGGAAUUGCUUUGGAUACUGUCGGGCUUGAGUGCAGGAGAGGUAAGUGGAAUUCCCAGUGUAGCGGUGAAAUGCGUAGAGAUUGGGAGGAACACCAGUGGCGAAGGCGACUUACUGGACUGUAACUGACGCUGAGGCGCGAAAGUGUGGGGAGCAAACAGGAUUAUAUACCCUGGUAGUCCACACUGUAAACGAUGAAUGCUAGGUGUAGGGGGUAUCGACCCCUUCUGUGCCGCAGUUAACACAAUAAGCAUUCCGCCUGGGGAGUACGGCCGCAAGGUUGAAACUCAAAUGAAUUGACGGGG
rnacentral:rRNA from 1 species